AAUUCUCGUUAAGUGUUUCGAGUUUCUCGCGGUUUGAAAAAAUGGCGGCGUCCAUAAGCGUCCAUAGACACAGCGAUGAAACUGGAUUUUAAUCAAUAUUUGUGCACCCAAACAAAAUAAACAAACUUAAAUUAUGUAAUAAGUCACAGACAUGGAUACGGGAAAAGGAAAAAGAAGAAACCGAGAUACAUCAUUAGAUGAUAUAUUGGGAGAUCUUUUAUCAGAAGAUACUCCAGCUACCAGACCCACAUCUCAGG